rnacentral:rRNA from 1 species
UACAGAGGGUGCAAGCGUUAAUCGGAAUUACUGGGCGUAAAGCGUGCGUAGACGGUUGCGUAAGUCAGAUGUGAAAGCCCCGGGCUCAACCUGGGAAUUGCAUUUGAGACUGCGUAGCUAGGGUGCGGAAGAGGGAAGCGGAAUUUCCGGUGUAGCGGUGAAAUGCGUAGAUAUCGGAAGGAAGACCAGUGGCGGAAAGGCGGGCUCCGUCGUGCCAGCUACCGACGUCAGGCACGAAGCGGCUGGGGAAGGCCAAAGGCAGG